ACAUGUCUACAUCAUAGCAUUAAUGCACUGUAUCCCAUUAGAACUCUCCAGUUAAGCGUGCUCAGGCUAGAGUAGAACUAGGAUGGGUGACCACCCGGCAAGUCCUGGUGUUUUACAUGCC
rnacentral:rRNA from 1 species